UACGUAGGGGGCUAGCGUUGUCCGGAAUCAUUGGGCGUAAAGCGCGUGUAGGCGGUCCGAUAAGUCCGCUGUGAAAGUCGAGGGCUCAACCCUCGAAUGCCGGUGGAUACUGUCGGGCUUGAGUACGGGAGAGGCGAGUGGAAUUCCUGGUGUAGCGGUGAAAUGCGCAGAUAUCAGGAGGAACACCGAUGGCGAAGGCAGGUCUCUGGGCAUUAACUGACGCUGAGGAGCGAAAGCAUGGGGAGCGAACAGG
rnacentral:rRNA from 1 species